AGUGAACGCUGGCGGUAGGCCUAACACAUGCAAGUCGAACGGCAGCACAGUAAGAGCUUGCUCUUACGGGUGGCGAGUGGCGGACGGGUGAGGAAUACAUCGGAAUCUACUUUUUCGUGGGGGAUAACGUAGGGAAACUUACGCUAAUACCGCAUACGACCUACGGGUGAAAGCAGGGGAUCUUCGGACCUUGCGCGAUUGAAUGAGCCGAUGUCGGAUUAGCUAGUUGGCGGGGUAAAGGCCCACCAAGGCGACGAUCCGUAGCUGGUCUGAGAGGAUGAUCAGCCACACUGGGACUGAGACACGGUCCAGACUCCUACGGGAGGCAGCAGUGGGGAAUAUUGGACAAUGGGCGCAAGCCUGAUCCAGCCAUACCGCGUGGGUGAAGAAGGCCUUCGGGUUGUAAAGCCCUUUUGUUGGGAAAGAAGAGCAGCAGGUUAAUACCCCGCUGUUCUGACGGUACCCAAAGAAUAAGCACCGGCUAACUUCGUG
rnacentral:rRNA from 1 species